rnacentral:rRNA from 1 species
CAAUAGCGUAUAUUAAAGUUGUUGCAGUUAAAAAGCUCGUAGUUGGACCUUGGACCUGGACAGGCGGUCCGCCUCACGGCGUGUACUGUCUUGCUGGGUCUUUCCUCUUGGUGAUCUGUUGUUUCGGCAGCAGGGAACCAGGACUUUUACUUUGAAAAAAUUAGAGUGUUCAAAGCAGGCUCGACGCCGGAAUAUAUUAGCAUGGAAUAAUAAAAUAGGACGUGCGGUUCUAUUUUGCUGGUUUUUGGAAUCGCCGUAAUGAUUAAUAGGGACAGUCGGGGGCAUUAGUACUCACAUGCUAGAGGUGAAAUUCUUGGAUUUUGUGAAGACUAACUUCUGCGAAAGCAUUUGCCAAGGAUGUUUUCAUUAA